UGGGGAAUCUUGCGCAAUGGGCGAAAGCCUGACGCAGCGACGCCGCGUGUGGGAUGAAGGCCUUCGGGUCGUAAACCACUGUCGCGAGGGACGAAUAAAUUGACGGUACCUCGAAAGGUAGCACCGGCUACCUCUGUGCCAGCAGCCGCGGUAAUACAGAGGGUGCGAGCGUUGUCCGGAAUCACUGGGCGUAAAGGGCGCGUAGGCGGUUUUGUAAGUCGGGGGUGAAAUGCUGCGGCUCAACCGCAGCGCUGCCUUCGAGACUGCAAGACUGGAGCACGGUAGAGGCGGAUGGAAUUCCCGGUGUAGCGGUGGAAUGCGUAGAGAUCGGGAAGAACACCAAUGGCGAAGGCAGUCCGCUGGGCCGUUGCUGACGCUGAGGCGCGACAGCGUGGGGAGCAAAC
rnacentral:rRNA from 1 species